rnacentral:rRNA from 1 species
GACGUACCACCCAAACGUUAUUCGGAUUCACUGGGCUUACAGAGUCCGUAGGCGGUCGAGAAAGUUGGAUGUGAAAUACCUCAGCUCAACUGAGGAAUUGCGUUCAAAACUACUUGGCUAGAGAGAUACAGAGGUGAGCGGAACUGAUGGUGGAGCGGUGAAAUGCGUUGAUAUCAUCAGGAACACCGGUGGCGAAGACGGGUGACUGGGCUGGUUCUGACACUGAGGCACGAAAGCGUGGGGAGCGAACGGG